UCAUGAAAGCCGUUUGUACCCGAAGUCGCCGUGCUAACUCGCAAGAGAGGCAGGUGCCGAAGGUAUGGAUGGUGAUUGGGAUG
rnacentral:rRNA from 1 species